rnacentral:rRNA from 1 species
GACGAACGCUGGCGGCGUGCCUAACACAUGCAAGUCGAGCGAAUGAAGUUCCUUCGGGAAUGGAUUUAGCGGCGGACGGGUGAGUAACACGUGGUCAACCUGCCUCAUAGAGGGGAAUAGCCUUCCGAAAGGGAGAUUAAUACCGCAUAAGAUUGUAGUAUCGCAUGAUACAGCAAUUAAAGGAGCAAUCCGCUAUGAGAUGGGCCCGCGGCGCAUUAGCUAGUUGGUGAGGUAACGGCUCACCAAGGCGACGAUGCGUAGCCGACCUGAGAGGGUGAUCGGCCACAUUGGGACUGAGACACGGCCCAGACUCCUACGGGAGGCAGCAGUGGGGAAUAUUGCACAAUGGGGGAAACCCUGAUGCAGCAACGCCGCGUGAGUGAUGACGGCCUUCGGGUUGUAAAGCUCUGUCUUCAGGGACGAUAAUGACGGUACCUGAGGAGGAAGCCACGGCUAACUACGUG